AUUGAACGCUGGCGGCAGGCCUAACACAUGCAAGUCGAGCGCGCGGGGGACGGGUGAGUAAUGUAUGGGGACUGCCCGUUAGAGGGGGAUAACUCCUGGAAACGGUGGCUCAUACCGCAUACUGCCGGAUUAUCCCUAUGGGAUUAGCUAGUAGGUAAGGUAAUGGCUUACCUAGGCGACGAUCCCUAGCUGGUCUGAGAGGAUGAUCAGCCACACUGGGACUGAGACACGGCCCAGACUCCUACGGAGGCAGCAGUGGGGAAUAUUGCACAAUGGGCGCAAGCCUGAUGCAGCCAUGCCGCGUGUAUGAAGAAGGCCCUAGGGUUGUAAAGUACUUUCAGUCGGGAGGCGUUACCGACAGAAGAAGCACCGGCUAACUCCGUGCCAGCAGCCGCGGUAAUAC
rnacentral:rRNA from 1 species